UAAUAACACUUUGGAACUUUACCUUAAGUAUUAUUUUGAACUUGGGACUAUAGCAAGUAAUGGAGUAUUUAUACUUUUACUUUAGUACAGGAUCUGAGUACUUUUUCCACCACUGCUUAAGAUCCAGUAAUGGGUUGCUAUAUCCUGCACCUCACACCCUGAAUUAUGUUAAUGGCUGCAAUAAUAGUUGUUAUUUACAAUACAUUUGGAUCAUUAACACAUUUCUCUUUUUCUCUAGGUUUUGAAUGUGGAGAUGCAAACAGUGUACUGAGACUCAAUCUACAAGGUAAACGCAGAAUUCACCCGCAUCACCACCGUUCCGCUGCUGCCUACCUUCAUGUCUCAACUGGAUCGCCAUUCGUCUCAGUUGAUGAAGGUUUUCAAAAAGAAGGGGGGAACAGCAGGACGCAAUUUGGGCCUGAUCAUGGCAGCCAUGGACAAGGAUCCCACAGUUGAAACACGACGGGACUGUGUCCUUAAAGCGCUCUGCGUCUACUUGAAUGAAAGUUCCGAGAGCUUCAUAAAGGAAUAUUUGGAUGUUGAACUUGCAACAACCCAAAUGGAG